ACGGAAGGCAGCAGUGGGGAAUAUUGGGCAAUGGGCGAAAGCCUGACCCAGCGACGCCGCGUGAGGGAAGAAGGUCUUCGGAUUGUAAACCUUAGUCAACAGGGAAGAAGCAAGUGACGGUACCUGUGGAGGAAGCCACGGCUAACUUCGUGCCAGCAGCCGCGGUAAUACGAGGGGUGCAAGCGUUGUUCGGAAUCACUGGGCGUAAAGGGAGCGCAGGCGGAAAUGCAAGCGGUCUGUACAAUGCCGGGGCCCAACCCCGGACCUGCAGACCGGACUGCAUUUCUUGGAUAGUUCAGGGGCAAGCGGAAUUCCUGGUGUAGCGGUGGAAUGCGUAGAGAUCAGGAAGAACAUCGAUGGCGAAGGCAGCUUGCUGGGGACUUAUCGACGCUCAUGCUCGAAAGUGCGGGUAGCAAACAGGAUAGAUACCCUGGUA
rnacentral:rRNA from 1 species